AAUUCUCUUUAUUAGCCUGUAAUUUCGUUUCGUUUCUUUUUUCCUUUUUUCUUUAAUUUUUUUUUUUUUUUUUUCUCGCGAAACAAAACAUCUUUCUACAUCCGCGGGAGUAGCUCCAAAAGCGAGAAAACCCGGCGAUAAUUUGUCGAGAAGAUCCUUGCGUCGACCAUUCUUCUCUCCUCGCAAUUUUAAAUGCCUCGCGACGUAUUUCUUCCCGUCGUUUCUAUCCCCACUCCUCUACGCUCUAUAAUAAAACCAGCAACCGUCGUAAUCUAAUACCGUUUCGCGUCCACGCGACGAAAAAAGAAGAAAAAUAAUAAAGAAGGAAAGCACGAAUACAAAGUACAAGGACAAACCUCGAAACGAAAACCGAACGUAUUAGAUAUAUACACAGGAGAAACGUGAACAUUUUAUUAUAAAAUAUUUCCUUGGAUUAUUCCUUUCCAACCGUACACAAAUUUAUAUAUAUUUUUCUUCUUUUUUUUUUUUUUCUCUACAUGAAGGUUCAACGAGAGAUAGGAAAGAGGGAUAAAAUCUUGAUUAAUAUCUACGACGCGGCAAAGGUCGAUAGUCGAAGAUGAGCUUCCCAUUCUCUCGUGUUCUCUCCAUUAACAAAUCCAAAGGGAUGAGAACGGUAAUACCGCUCAUUACCGCUCGCGAAGGAGGAUAAUGAGAUUAAAAUUUUAACAAGCUUGACACGCGCACGGAUGCGACGCCGUUAAAUUAAUCGCCAAGUUCAUCGAGAGGGAAUUUUUAAUAAUAUUUUCGGUGAUCACGCGUGCUGUUUGCGAAAAGGAUCGAUCCUUUAAUGAUGGAAUAAACGCACUCCUCGUUAUUAUAUCGAGCAAGGAGAGUUACAUCAAACACGGCGUACUAUAAAUUUAAAUUAAAAGCAAACGCCAGAUUUUAACACAUUGCAGCCGUAUUCAGUCUCUACGAAUCUUCGAUCGAUGCAUUUUAAAAUGUAUCUCUCACUGUUAUAGGACAAUUAAAAUCAAUUUAGAAAACAGAGUUUCCUCUUUUUUUUUGCUCGAAUGGAGAAAGCUCGAGAUGGUGAACUUUAUUAAUUUUUUACAGCUAACUCAAAAUGAUUUCAUUUUAGGUGUAAUUAUAAAAAAAUUUGUCGAAUAUUGAACUCUAUAUAUUUUAUAAAUCCUCGAUUUGUCAGGACAAGUAUUAAUUAAAAUGUCUCUCAUCUUUCUUAUUUCUUAUUUAAGAGCAAAUCUUAUAAUCCCUCUCAACUCCCGUUAACGUAACGUGCUCUCACAUUCACCGAGUAUUAUCCUUUCAUCUUCAUCGCUGUUCUUCUUUAUCGUCAAUAAUUUCUUUACGAACGAGAACUACUUACAAAACUCGAGAACGUUGAAAAUAAUAUUCCUAUUGUCAAACUCGAAGACACAGAUCCAAUUUUAGAUAAGAAAAUCUACUUAUUCGACGUUAUAUUAUUCUACGCUUCAUUUAGGAAUCAACCGUAAAUAAAUAACAUCGCCGUCGAAUCCAAACAGUGGCCAAGAGUCACAUUCGAAAUUUAUCUCUCACUGUUGUAUUAUACAAUUAAAGUCGAUUUAAGAAGAGUCUCCCCUCUCCGUAACAGUUCCAUUCCCCCCACCCUUCCCCUCCGUGGAUUUUAUUUUCGUUUCCUCGGCGCUGGAAUUGGCGCACGCGGCGCUGCUGCGGGGAAACUCGUGCGCGCGAAUCCACAGGAAUUAUCGCAGCGACGAUAAAUGGCGGCGCGCGUUGCUUUUCCUCGAGGCGAGACGAGGCUAGGCGAGGCGAGGCGUUGCGAGUGUAUCUCGAUACUCUUUUUCAUGAAACAAUAACACAUCGAAAUUAAUUACGAAAGAUCGAACGGAUUUAAGUUGAAGUUGAAAUAUUAUGUUAGUAUCGAAACGUUGUCAAAACUUUUCCAGAAUAACCUUUUCGAGGAACAACGACACAAAAUUAAUUACGAAAAAUCGAACGGUGCACUUUUAAGUGGAAGUUGACAAGGACAACGACACGAAAUUAUUUACGAAAGAUCGAACGCAGUUUUAAGCUGCGGGAGACACGGCGAUGCAACGACACGUCGAAUUGACUAAAAAGAUCGAAAGUUUUAUUUAAUCGUAGUUUUAAGAUUGAAGAAAUGUUAUAUGUUAUUAUUGAAAUCUUUUCGAAGAACAACGACACGAAAUUAAUUACGAAAGAUCGAACGGUGCAGUUUUAAGUGGAAGUUGACAAGGACAACGACACGAAAUUACUUACGAAAGAUCGAACGGCGCAGUUUUAAGCUGCGGGAGACACGGCGAUGCAACGACACGUCGAAUUGACUAAAAAGAUCGAGUUUUAUUUAAUCGUAGUUUUAAUUUAAGAUUGAAGAAAUGUUAUAUAUUAUUAUUGAAAUCUUUUCGAAAUCUUUUCGAACGACACGAAAUUAAUUACGAAAGAUCGAACGGUGCACUUUU
rnacentral:lncRNA from 1 species